CCGGCGCACGGUGGAGUAACGCGUAUCCAACCUGCCUUACACUCUUGGACAGCCUCUGAAGGGAGAUUAAUACAAGAUGUUAUCAUGAGUAAGCAUUUUCACAUGAUUAAAGGUUUACCGGUGUAAGAUGGGGAUGCGUUCCAUUAGAUAGUAGGCGGGGUAACGGCCCACCUAGUCUUCGAUGGAUAGGGGUUCUGAGAGGAAGGUCCCCCACAUUGGAACUGAGACACGGUCCAA
rnacentral:rRNA from 1 species